rnacentral:miRNA from 1 species
AGAAUGCCCGCAAUAUUUCUG